CUCUGGAGAUUGCUUCUGUGUGGAGUUUACUGUGAACCUUCAGUAUUGCAGUCAGACAUGAUACCCUCAGCGCAGCGCAGCACAGCUACUUAAUGACCAAGCUCAGCCUGGAAGUCAUAGGGAAGUGCUCCACGUAUCUGAGCCUGCAUGUGUCUUCAUCAGUGAACAUAUACUAGUGAAGAGAGUGAACUCCUUCAGUUUGAUCUUAGGGGAACUCCUGGUUCAGCAAACACUUGGACAGAAAGUGCAUCCACACCUUACAACAAGCAUUUCAAGUCCCUUAAUUAUGGAAAACUUCAAGUACCAGUAAAUUAGAGCAAACUGCUCUCAAUGGUUAUGUGUCUUCUUCCCCUAUUACCAGUAAAACAGUGAAAGCCUUUUGCAAAAUUUUCAUUUAAAAGCAUGCUCCUCAGCUCAUGCUGUGUUAAAUACUAACUAAGAAGCUACAAAUAUAUUUAAAAAAAAAAAAAAAAGCAAUGCAAUUUCAGU